GUGGGCGUGGGGCCGGCCAACGGUGGCCGGCCCCCCGGGUCAGAGGGGCUUGGGCCCACAUUUCGAAAGCAGACGUUAAGAAAGCAUGCCCUUCCCCCUGUGGGUUCAGCGGUGUGGGCGUGGGGCCGGCCAACGGUGGCCGGCCCCCCGGGUCUGAGGGGCUUGGGCCCACAUUUCCUGGUUUUUUUCUUCUCUCUCUGUCUCUGGGAAGCGUGCCGGCCCACUGUGGCCGGCCUAGUAUUUCAGGGUGUGGGCCUUUUUGGCCGUGGCUUCUUCUGUCUUUUCUUUGGUCUUUGCUGCCUCUCGGCCUACGUGGCCGAGUUUCCCCCGAUGCACCGCCUCUCUCUUCUCUCGCGGCUGUCGUUCUUUACCCCUUUAUGAGAGUUUGCACCGAAGCCUCCUUUGGGGCGGCGGCCCCUCUUUCUUCCUGUCUGGGAAGCGUGCCGGCCAACGGUGGCCGGCCUAGUAUUUUAAAGUGUGGGCCUUUUCGGCCGUGGCUUCUUCUGUCUUUUCUUUGGUCUUUGCUGCCUCUCGGCCUACGUGGCCGAGUUUCCCCCGAUGCACCGCCUCUCUCUUCUCUCGCCGGCUGUCGUUCUUUACCCCUUUAUGCGAGUUUGCACCGAAGCCUCCUUUGGGGCGGCGGCCCCUCUUUCUUCCUGUCUGGGAAGCGUGCCGGCCAACGGUGGCCGGCCUAGUAUUUUGAAGUGUGGGCCUUUUCGGCCGUGGCUUCUUCUGUCUUUUCUUUGGUCUUUGCUGCCUCUCGGCCUACGUGGCCGAGUUUCCCCCGAUGCACUGCCUCUCUCUUCUCUCGCCGGCUGUCGUUCUUUACCCCUUUAUGCGAGUUUGCACCGAAGCCUCCUUUGGGGCGGCGGCCCCUCUUUCUUCCUGUCUGGGAAGCGUGCCGGCCAACGGUGGCCGGCCUAGUAUUUUAAAGUGUGGGCCUUUUCGGCCGUGGCUUCUUCUGUCUUUUCUUUGGUCUUUGCUGCCUCUCGGCCUACGUGGCCGAGUUUCCCCCGAUGCACCGCCUCUCUCUUCUCUCGCCGGCUGUCGUUCUUUACCCCUUUAUGCGAGUUUGCACCGAAGCCUCCUUUGGGGCGGCGGCCCCUCUUUCUUCCUGUCUGGGAAGCGUGCCGGCCAACGGUGGCCGGCCUAGUAUUUUGAAGUGUGGGCCUUUUCGGCCGUGGCUUCUUCUGUCUUUUCUUUGGUCUUUGCUGCCUCUCGGCCUACGUGGCCAAGUUUCCCCCGAUGCACCGCCUCUCUCUUCUCUCGCCGGCUGUCGUUCUUUACCCCUUUAUGCGAGUUUGCACCGAAGCCUCCUUUGGGGCGGCGGCCCCUCUUUCUUCUUGUCUGGGAAGCGUGCCGGCCAACGGUGGCCGGCCUAGUAUUUUGAAGUGUGGGCCUUUUCGGCCGUGGCUUCUUCUGUCUUUUCUUUGGUCUUUGCUGCCUCUCGGCCUACGUGGCCGAGUUUCCCCCGAUGCACCGCCUCUCUCUUCUCUCGCCGGCUGUCGUUCUUUACCCCUUUAUGCGAGUUUGCACCGAAGCCUCCUUUGGGGCGGCGGCCCCUCUUUCUUCCUGUCUGGGAAGCGUGCCGGCCAACGGUGGCCGGCCUAGUAUUUUAAAGUGUGGGCCUUUUCGGCCGUGGCUUCUUCUGUCUUUUCUUUGGUCUUUGCUGCCUCUCGGCCUACGUGGCCGAGUUUCCCCCGAUGCACCGCCUCUCUCUUCUCUCGCCGGCUGUCGUUCUUUACCCCUUUAUGCGAGUUUGCACCGAAGCCUCCUUUGGGGCGGCGGCCCCUCUUUCUUCCUGUCUGGGAAGCGUGCCGGCCAACGGUGGCCGGCCUAGUAUUUUAAAGUGUGGGCCUUUUCAGCCGUGGCUUUUUCUGUCUUUUCUUUGGUCUUUGCUGCCUCUCGGCCUACGUGGCUGAGUUUCCCCCGAUGCACUGCCUCUCUCUUCUCUCGCCGGCUGUCGUUCUUUACCCCUUUAUGAGAGUUUGCACCGAAGCCUCCUUUGGGGCGGCGGCCCCUCUUUCUUCCUGUCUGGGAAGCGUGCCGGCCAACGGUGGCCGGCCUAGUAUUUUAAAGUGUGGGCCUUUUUGGCCGUGGCUUCUUCUGUCUUUUCUUUGGUCUUUGCUGCCUCUCGGCCUACGUGGCCGAGUUUCCCCCGAUGCACCGCCUCUCUCUUCUCUCGCGGCUGUCGUUCUUUACCCCUUUAUGCGAGUUUGCACCGAAGCCUCCUUUGGGGCGGUGUCCUCUGUUUUUUUCUCUCUCCCGGGGAUGCGUGCCGGCAAACUGUGGCCGGCCCGGCUUAAAGUAUGGGCCUUGUCGCCUGUGGCUUUUUAUUUCUUUUCUUUUGUUUUUGCUGCCUCUCGGCCUACGUGGUCGACGUGUUUCCCACUACUCACCGCUUCCCUUUCCUCUUCUCUCGCGGCUGUCGUUCUUUAGCCCUUUGAGCGAGUUUGCACCGAAGCCUCCUUUGGGGCGGCGGCCCCUCUUACUUCCUGUCUGGGAAGCGUGCCGGCCAACGGUGGCCGGCCUAGUAUUUAAAAGUAUGGGCCUUGUCGGCCUACGUGGUCGACAUGUUUCCCCCGAUGCACCGCAUCUCUCUUCUCUCGCGGCUGUCGUUCUUUAGCCCUUUAUGCGAUUUUGCACAGAAGCCUCCUUUGGGGCGGUGUCCUCUGGUUUUUUUUCUCUCUCUCUCUCUCAGGGAUGCGUGCCGGCAAACAGUGGCCGGCCCGGCUUAAUGUAUGGGCCUUGUCGCCUGUGGCUUUUUUCUUUCUUUUCUUUUCUUUUCUUUUUGCUGCCUCUCGGCCUACGUGGUCGAGUUUCCCACGAUGCACCGCAUCUCUCUUCUCUCGCCGGCUGUCGUUCUUUACCCCUUUGUGCGAUUUUGCACAGAAGCCUCCUUUGGGGCGGCGGCCCCUCUUUCUUCCUCACAGGGAAGCGUGCCGGCCAACGGUGGCAGUAUUUUAAAGUGUGGGCCUUUUUGGCCUACGUGGUGGACAUGUUUCCCACUAUGCACCGCUUCCCUUUCCUCUUCUUUCACGGCUGUCGUUCUUUACCCCUUUAUGCGAUUUUGCACAGAAGCCUCCUUUGGGGCGGCGGCCCCUCUUUCUUCCUCACAGGGAAGUGUGCCGGCCAACGGUGGCAGUAUUUUAAAGUGUGGGCCUUUUUGGCCUACGUGGUGGACAUGUUUCCCACUAUGCACCGCUUCCCUUUCCUCUUCUUUCACGGCUGUCGUUCUUUACCCCUUUAUGCGAUUUUGCACAGAAGCCUCCUUUGGGGCGGCGGCCCCUCUUUCUUCCUCACAGGGAAGCGUGCCGGCCAACGGUGGCCGGCCUAGUAUUUCAACGUGUGGGCCUUGUCGGCCUACGUGGUCAACGUGUUUCCCACGAUGCACCGCCUCUCUCUUCUCUCGCGGCUGUCGUUCUUUACCCCUUUGUGCAAUCUUGCACAGAAGCCUUCUUUGGGGCGGCGGCCCCUCUUUCUUCCUGUCAGGGAAGCGUGCCGGCCAACGGUGGCCGGCCUAGUAUUUCAGUGUGUGGGCCUUGCCGGAUGUGGCUUUUUCUUUCUUUUCUUUUCUUUUCAUGAAAUCAGCGGGGAGGAUGGGCGGGUUGUGUUUCCACAGAACACCACUCAAAGAAACAGUUACAGGUAUCCAAUACUGUUCUAAAUUGCUCGACAACAAAAUGAUAGAAUCAUAGAAACAUGGCACCAAACAUCAUAGAAUCAUAAAGCUAGAAGAGACCAUCCAGUCCAACGCCAUUCUGCCAUGCAAAAACAAUAUACAGUAGAGUCUCACUUAUCCAACACUCGCUUAUCCAAUGUUCUGGAUUAUCCAACGCAUUUUUGUAGUCAAUGUUUUCAAUACAUCAUGAUAUUUGGGGGUUAAUUUGUAAAUACAGUAACACACACACAUAUGCAGGGACUACACCAAUUUAACAAAGUUUCAGCCACAAAAACAAAGUUUCUGAAGUAGAGCAAUGACUUUCACAGUAAAGACAACCCAAUUUAACAGGAAAUAAGACUUUCAAACCAGGAACAGAUUUCUGCAAUUAUUAAAAAAUGGUUUAUUAUAAAAGCUAUGAAAAUUUGCCAAAAAUCAGAGGAUAAGGGAAACGUUCCACAUUUUGGUGAGCUAUCAGUGUUAAAUGUGUUCUACCACUGUACCAAGUUUGAAGAAGAUCACUCAAAAAAUGAGGGUGGGAGAGCCCCCUAAGUCCCCCCCCCUUCGGGCUGUUUUUGGGCCACCGCGCAUGCGCGUCCGCCAUUAACGAAUUAAUUUUGAAAAUAACGAAUUUUCGUUAAUUUCGAAAAAUUUUGGGGGCCAAAUUCGUUAUUAGCAACAAAAACGAAAAACUGCCCCCUCUAGUUUUGAAACGAGUUUAGAAUCAAAUUUUUCAUGGAUCGAUCAAGCCUAGUAGUUACUGUAGUUUCCAUGGUGCUUUGGAUUUUUGCCAAAUAAAAUUCUGGUGAUUAUGAGUGAUUUAAUAGUCAUUGCUAGUUGUGUCUUUAAGCCUACACACAACUAUGAAUUCUGAGUGAAUUUGUUUAUUUUGCUAGAGAAUAAUUUAAAAUGAAAUACAAUUAUUUUUAUUUUUGGGUGUGUACGCAUCAGCUUGUCAGGAAAUAAUGACUCCUGACCUUCUGUUUCUGAGACAAAUAAGUCAUGCUAAAGCUAGGGCAGAGCUUUGAAAACUCCCAUUAGAAAAAGCAAUUAUAGGUUGUAUGUUUUCCGGGCUGUAUGGCCAUGUUCCAGAAGUAUUCUUUCCAGACGUUUCGCCCACAUCUAUGGCAGGCAUCCUCAGAGGUUGUGAGGUACCAUAGAUGUGGACAAAACGUCAGGAGAGAAUACUUCUGGAACAUGGCCAUACAGCCUGGAAAACAUACAACAACCCUGUGAUCCCGGCCAUGAAAGCCUUUGACAACACAAAAAGCAAUUACUUCCUAUUCCUGUUCCAAACCACCAAAGCAGUAGUAGUAGUAGUUGUUGUUAUUAUUAUUAUUAUUAUUAUUAUUAUUAUUAACUUUAUUUAUACCCCACCUUUUUCCCUGUGGGGACUCAAUGUGGCCGAAGAGCUAAUUACUAUCUGUCAAGGACAGAACGCCACAAGAUAAAAGAUAACAGAGUUUAUUGGAGUUACAGCACUCAAAAUGCCCGUAAAAGACAAGGGCUAGGCAAACACUAGCCUAAAAAGUAAAAAGGGGCAAGAAAAACGUUCAAAAGAUAAACCGGAUUAAACCGGAGUUUAAUCCGGGUAAAAUCAAAACAGCUUGCUUCAGCCUGGGAACAAACAAAACAGAAGCUGGUGAACAAAGAGUUCAAAGGAAUGCAACUAAUUGGCAGCAGAAACUUCUCUGCUGCCAAAACUAUGUUCUGAGUAACUUUAAAGGUUACUCCUCCACACAGCAGACAGAUUCCCGAUACAAACUCAGCAGACGAGGGCUUAGCAGUCAGCGAGGUCCCAAAUCCGUUCCGAAGGUCGUAAGGUAGAUGCAGACGUUUGUAGUUCACCAGGUCCAAUACAGGUAGGAGUAUCCGAAGCCGUAGUCAAGCAGUCCGUAUGUCCAGUACAAGCAGAUGGCGUCCGUCAAGAAGACGACGGAAGGUCAAAGCUAUUAAGAUUAAGCAGAGGUUGCACAACAAAACCCCACACAAUUCCUCCCGCCGUCUGAGCCCAAUGUCCGAGAUAACUUACGUAGUCAGCAAACGAAACACACCCGUCUUCAGGAAACUUCCCACACAGAUCCCAAGCGUUCGUCCAGAUUACCUUGCCCAACGCAAUUUGCUAUUGCUCCCAAACCCCAUUUUAUGCCAGUUACAAGUCCUCAUCACUAUCAGCUGCCCUCCUUAGCCCGGGCGUUUCCUCAUCACUUUCCUCAUCAGAGCUGGAACACCUCUGACUACGCCCCACAGCAUCCCCAGCUGUGGAUCCCGUCCCAUCCCUCCAGCUUGCCCAUGGAUCUAAUCCUGAAGGUCCCCAAUCGCCUUCCAUUCUAUCAUUGCCAGUGGCACCCAAAUCCUCCCUUACACGAGUCCAUUCCAUAUCAUCUUCUUCCGAGCUAACCAUCUCUUCCUCCAUUCUCUCAGUAAACCCUUCAAAAUCAUCCUCGUCAGAUGGUUCUGCAAAGAUAUCUCGCAGCCGCUUUCUUUCUCGCUCCUCGAGAGUAUCUGACUCUCGAAGAGUCUUACGCCCACGUCUCCCAGUAGCAGAGCCAUGAGGCUCAACCAUAACACUAUCAUUGUAAUUUUAAAGUACUUUACUUUCUAGUUCAGGAAUAACUAGAUAUUGUCCAUUUGAUUGAAUAAUAUAUGCAUUGCUGUUGAAAACAUAAAUGGAAGAUGGCCAAGUUAAUAUAUGGUUAAAUGGUCUCAGAAUUUUGCUUGUAAUAAUGAGAUAUUAGGUGUGAUUAUGCCGACCAAGGGCAAGAUGGAUGGACGGUAUCCUUGAAGUGACUGGGUUGACCUUGAAGGAACUGGGGGCGGUGACGGCCGACAGGGAACUCUGGUGUGGACUGGUCCAUGAGGUCACGAAGAGUCGGAGAUGACUAAACGACUGAGCAGCAGCAUGCUUUCCAUGAAAAUGCAAGUUUGCAAUUUGAGAGUGACCAGGAGUACUUUUGCCCAGUUAAAACUAGUUUGCCAAUUGUUUCUGUUUAUGGAGAAAUUGGAUUUGGUCAUGGCAACACAUGCUUUGGCAUAUCCUAUUUGGGUUAUUGUAAUGCAUUCUAGAUAGGGCUAUCUUUGCCAGGUGCUCAGAAACUUAAAUUGGACCAAAGAGCUGCAGUCAGAUUGUUGACUGUGUUGGCUAUAGGGGAGUACAGAACACCUUGGUUACAGCAGUUCCACUGGCUGCCAGUCCAUUUCUUACCAUAAUUCCAGGUGAUGUAUAGAGAUAAGAAGAGGCAGGCAUUGCUGUACAGUAGUGCACAGUCCAUGGUUGGAAGAACAGAAUAACACCUUUUGUGAUUUUGGUCACCCUUCUCUGAACAAGCUGGCACGUAUCUAAAGAAGGGCAACCAAAAUGACCAAAGGUUUGGAAGCCAACUCCUACCAGAAGCGGCUCAGGAGGCUAGGUAUAGUUAACUUGGAGAAGAUAAGGUUAAGAGGAGACACAAUAACCUUGUGCAACUAUUUAAUAGGGCAUCACAUUGAGGAUAGGGGCAAGCUUUUUAUCUGCUGCUCUAGAGAUGGCAGAUGGAACAGUGGAUUCAAUCAAAUGACAAGAAAAGAGAUUCCACCUAAACAUUAGGAAGAACUUCCUGAUGAUGGGAGCUGUUUGUCAGUGGAAUAUGCUGCCUCAGAGUGUGGUGGAGUCUCUUUGGAUGGCCAUCAUUGGGAGUGCUUUGAUUGUGUGUUUCUGUAUGGCAGGGACCCGAUGGCAGGGGAUUGGACCCAAUCUUUAGAAUCUCUUCCAAUUCUAGGAUUCUAAAGUUUUUCUCAUAAUGUGAUGCAUAUCUGGUUAAAGUUAUAUCAAUUCUUUGAAACAAAUUUCAAAAGAAAUUCCAGAAUUAUAGGAUGUUACAGGUGUAUAUAAAUUUGUAUAUGAGGAAUAUACAUUUUUGUACUUUGAAGCUAAAAAUCCCAAAUAAGUUGCCACUUGUUAUAUUUAUUGUUACAGUGAACAUGCAAGUACUUUGAACAGUUCUUGUAACUACUGACAUGUGAUAGCGAAUCCACUGUCAACAAGCAUCAGAAAUAUGGCAAUAGUAAUGCUUGUCUUGCCUCCAGCAUUGUUGUAAGAAUGCAGUUUGGCAGUGUAUCCAUUAUGCAUUGAAAAAUACUAUUUAAAGGUUACGGAUGAGAUUUUAGCAGUGCUGUGGCUGAACUGAGGAUCCUUCCAUACAGGCCCUAUAUCUCAGGAUCUGAUCCCAGGUUUUCUGCAUUAAACUGGAUUAUAUGAGCCCCACUGCCAGAUGAUCUGGGAUAAACAGGAAAACUGGGAUAUAGGGUCUGAAGGGCCCUAAGUCCUCAGUGAUGAAAUUCCCUUAAUCAGCAUAAGCACUUUGCAUUGUUUUAAACUUGUAUAUUGUAUUUUAUGACUAUUUUAUGACUGUUUUAACUGUUUUAAUCGUUUUAGUUUAUUGUAUAUCAGUGUAACGGCAUCAAUUGCCACUUGUAAGCCGCCCUGAGUCCCCUCGGGUGAGAAGGGCGGGGUAUAAAUAAUUGAAAUAAAUAAAUAAUAAUAAAUUUGGAUGGUAAACCUUCAAUAAUUUAGGUUUUUAUUGUAUUUCUUCUGAUGUGCUCACUCAUAACAAUUGGUUUUUUAAAGGACCAUUUACCUUGUGGAAUAAUUUCAGUAGAAUAGACCUGCUGAAUUGGAUGUUGCAUGUUAAGUCAGCAAUUAAUCUCACCCUAGGUGAGAUUAGCUAUUAGAUUUACAUCACAAUUCCCUGUAAAAGUGAAUUCAGAUUAUGGAAUUCAUAACAACACAUUGCCUAGAUAAGCUAUACAUGAUAGAUGAGAUAUGCAUAUCUUAAAAUAAAUAAUGGGAAGUGAAAAGGUCUGCAGCUAUGUUCAGGGUUUUCCCCUAGGUAUGCAGAAGUAUGCUUGUUUAUGCAUGAAACAAUUUGAAAAUAUCCUGCCUGAGAAGUAUACAUGAUCAUUCAUUGUGUCGAAAAUUCUGAGGUAAGUUUCUAAUAAAUAUCUUGAGAGGGAAGAAAAAGGGGAGAAAUAGAAAAAGUGGUUACUGGUUUGAAGGCCUCUACAAGAUUUAUCUUGUAGGGAUUAUGAUUAGGGUGUGUAUGUGGCACCAGAAGGCCCUUCACUAUGUAAGUAUGUUUCAGAAGGAAGAACAGGAAAAAGAAAACUCUUGUCCGAGGUCACAUAUGUCCCCAUAUGCAUAUAUAGUUGUAGAUAUCCUGGGAGCUCGCAUUUGAAACAGAUAGAUCUUUGUAUACAUAGAUAUACAGAUUUUUUUUGUAUUCUUCUUGCUGCCUAUACCUGUUUGUACAAAUGGGUCUGUUUUGUCUGUGUUGUCACCCAACAAAUCAAGCAUGACUAAAUAUUUGUAGAACUAUAUAAGACCUUUUUUCUCAACCUUUGGUCCUCCACGUGUUUUGAACUUCAGCUCCCAAAAAUCCCAGCCAAUUUACCAGCUGUUAGGAAUUGUGGGAGAUGAAGUCCAAAAUACCUGGAGGACCAAAGGUUGAGAGCCACUGAUUAUAAGAAAUGAUCCAUUGCAUCUGUAGUAUGCAUGCGUUGAAGUGUUGAUUCCAGUUUGUUCUGGAGGCCAUCAAUGUCUUCCAUUUUCCUUUUACAUGAGCUUUUAUUCUGCAGAAUUUGAGUACCCUCACUGAACUUGUGUUGGCAAGUGGAUUGUUCUUAUUUUCCAUGCUAUGAUUGUAUCUUUGUCUGUGCAUGGUGCUUUUGAAAACUUUGGUGUUACCCUGGGACUGUUGAUCCCUUCCUGUUAUGUGUGGGUGCUCUUUGGCUGUAUAAUUAGUGUAGCAUUCAAACAGACAGAAUUUUUUUUACUACUAAAUAGAUAAUUGAUAAUGAUUACAGGGAGCCUAAAGGAGAAAAUGAUUGCAAUGUAAUUUUGAAAUCUUGUAAAGUGGUCACAUAGGUAACCCAUAAAACAUUUAUUGAAAGAAAGUAAGGUUGUUCCUGUGGUUUUCUAUUACUUCUUGUGCUUUACAUAAGUAGAUGAAGCCCUUUGAUUAAAAGAGUGGUAAGAGAGUGCAAGGGAAAAGAGUUUUUCAUUUGCACCUGAUAGUUUUUUUUUAAUCUUUGCAACUGUUGCUCUAAUGGUUUUGAAACCCAGUCGAGUCAUUUCUUUACGCCCACACAGAACUGCAGUAGUACAGACGCUGUAGCAGGAAAACCAUAUUACUAGCUAGAGCUAUUAAACUCUCCCCAAACCAAGUGUGGGCUGAAAUAACCCUCUUCUUCUUUUCUCAGAAAAUCUUCUGUGCAUCUUUUGCACAUAAGAAAAGAAAACACAGGAGAGGAAAAAAUCUAAAAGGCAACUCGGGCUUCUCUUUGUUCCAACCUGUUUUCAGUGAAGUCUGAAGCACCCUUCUGGCCUACGGACUUGGCCAUCUAAAGAUAACUGCCAAUGAAUCGUUGGAGAACAUGAAAGGAAUGGAGGCACAGAGACUUUCAUGUCCCCCUGCUUCAGUAGAUGAACAACCAGACCAGCUUGCUUCCUGCUUUCAAGCCAUACACACAGCACCAAGUUUGUCGGUUAGCCCAAUAAUUCUUCAGCCUGAGCAAGCGCUCUCUCAGACUAUAUAUGUGAAAGCUCUUACAAUACCACUUUUUCAGCCUAUCCAGUCAGAAGGCCUUCAGCCUAGCCAUAAGCUACUCACAGGCCAAACCAGUAUCAAUUUAGAUAGUAGUAAUAUACCCUUAAUUCUAAACCCACUUUUACAUUCAGAUGGAACAGAUCAUAUUCAGACAGGUAUUCAGAAGCAACCUGAAACAAUAAAAAUAGUUAGUGGCUUCCCAGUUUUGGCGCAAAAUUAUUCUCCAUGUUCACCGCUUGGAAGCCCGGGGAAAUGCAAAAAUGCUGGGAAGUACCUCUGUAAACACUGUGGACGUGAUUGCCUGAAGCCAAGUGUUCUUGAAAAACAUGUCCGCUCACACACAGGUGAGAGGCCUUUCCCAUGUACAAUAUGUGGCAUUGCAUUUAAAACUCAAAGCAACUUGUAUAAACACAGGAGAACUCAAACACAUGUCAACAAUGCCAGACUACCCUCAGAGUCUGACAGCAGUAGUCCAUUAGGAGAGCAUGAGAAGGGCCGUGAAACCAUUGGAUCUCCCCAUAAAACAAAACCAAGUGAUAGAAACUGUGACGGCACAAGAACAGUGAUUUCACACUCUGCCUCAGACUCUACUGCUGCAGUAACCAGUGAGAAUGAGUCUCUUGAUACUUCAGCACCAGAAAUUAAUAGUUUAUUUGUUGUAUCUGAAAGUCAGUGGACAACAGUGGACAACUCUUGUCAUGGAAGAGUCAAUCAGAGUGUCCUUGAGAAAGAGUUCAUGAAAGAUCCAGCAACUCCACUCCAGAAAAGGAAGAUCCAGGAGCAGAGGUGUCAAACUGCAGCUAAGCCCAGUCAGUUGCAGAGGCAGCAGGCCACAUAUACAGAGAAGCUAUGGGAAGGCAGAUCUCCAGAUUACAAGCUGAAGAAAUGUGAAAGCACUGACUCAGGGUAUAUGUCUCGCUCUGAUAGUGUGGAGCAGCAGAUGCUGUCCCCCAACUGUCUGCAUAGUCUCUGUGAACACAGCACUGAGACAGAAAGUGAUACAACCAUUACCAGUGUGAGGUGUACAGCAGGAAAUAUGGCAAAAGCAGAUUCUACUGAGAAGUCAACAGGAGGUUUAACAUUAGAGAAAAAGAAGUUGGAAGAACAUAUCUCAAAGCUAAUCUCUCAAAAUAAAGCUGUGGUGGAUAAUACACAAUUGGACAAUGUUAGGCCCAGGAAAACAGUCCUGUCCAAGCAGGGCAGCAUUGACUUGCCAAUGCCUUAUACAUACAAAGACUCGUUUCAUUUUGACAUACGUCCUUUUGACUCAAGCAGGAAGAAGCUUUUUCAAUGCACAGCCAAGUCUAUAUUCACACCUAUUGAAAAAUCUAAGCCAUUGUUUUUUCAUUCUGUCCCCACUCAGUUCUCAACAACAAUAGACUAUGUUCCUGUUAGCAGAAGUAACUCCAUGCCUUUUAUUGAGAGCACAAGAAGAAUUCAAGACCAAGCAGAUAUUUCAAAAGCCCCCUCUCUUGCUAAAAUGUCUCAUGAUACAAGUUCUGCUUUGUUGUCUAGCAAAGAAAAGUCUGCAAGUAUGGCAGAUUUUCCUAGCAGCCAUCCUCGGGCACUUGUUAGACAAGCAGCAGUAGAUGAUUUGCCACCAAGUAACACAACUGAUCCAUCCUCUUCAGAAGAGGUGAAAGGAACUAAAAAGUCUGGACUUGAAGGGGAAGGAACAAGCACAAAACAUAAGAAACCGAAUCAAAGAAAAGCAAAAAUGUUCACUCAGGAAAAAUGGCAGGUUUAUGGGGAUGAAACUUUUAAGAAAAUUUAUCAGAAAAUGAAGAGCAACCAAACCACCAAGAAACAAAAAGAAAACAAGAUCACAGAUAUUUCAAGUUUCCAUUUGGGUACUAAGGACAUUGGUAGUCAUGAUGGGAUCCCAAAGGAUGUCAAAGGCUUCAAAACUGAAAAUCUGGUAUGUUCCUCAGUGACCUUGUCUGCAAAACCUAAUACAGAAAAGCUGGUUUCAUCCUCAGUGACUGUUUCUGCGAAACAAAAUACUGAAGAGUUGGAAGGCUAUUGCAUUACUAGUCCUCCAUCACAAUGUGGUUCCUCACAGAGUUUAGGUAACUUUGCAGUCAGUGUUUGUGAACAAAGUGAGUUGUCUAAAACAUUUGUUGAAAGCAGCUGUAGAGGAUUGUGUGUAUCAAAACAAGACUCAAGUGGCAAUGAUGAGGUUCUGCCUUUUAAUACUGGUUGUGAAUUGAGUUUCCAGCUUCAGCAGACUACAGAUCAAGAAGAGAACAGCAGCCCCUUAAACAUUGCUAGCCUGCAGGAUACAGGCUUAGAGGAUGCAUGUGCUCAAGGGGAGCUUGUUAAAGGUAUGUUGGUAGAGGAAGAUAAUUCAACUGCCCAAGAUCCCACUGGAAAAGAAAGCUUUUACCUUGAGCAGGAGGCUUUCCUCCCCAAACAUUGCAACAGUAGUGAACCAACACAGGAACUGCCAAAGCUGCCCUCAGAGAGAAAAAAACUAAAAGUAGAUAAACUGAAAAGGGAAGAAAAUGUGCUAAAACCCACUCAUAGCUCCAGUAGUUCAGUGGAGGGAAAUGUAGAACUGACAGACCAUUACAAAACUGUUGACACAGUUGCCUCAGAAUCAAUACAUCACUUGGUUAAAGAAGAAAGUCAGAUAGCAAUGGGAGGAUUGAAUACAUCAGGUAGCAGUAACAUGGGAUAUAAAGAAUCAGUCCAGUGUCCAAUAAUGACCUCUGAAAAACAAGAUGAUGUUGCUGAUCUUUCUGAUACAAGAAGUGUAUUAUCACUUGAACAGUUAGGAACUGAGGUAAAAAAGGGAAACACUUAUGAUUUGUAUGCUUUACAAAAGCUGAAAAACAAGCCAUAUCGAGAAGCAUCACCAGAGUUUGGAGAUAUUGCACAAGCACCCACUCAGCAUUUAAUAUUUGAUCAAAUAAAUCCCAGUCUAAAGAAAAAUGACUUUCUUCCAAAGUACAUCCUAAAAUAUUCACAAGGGAAGACUACAGGAUUGCCAUUGAUUCUUACAGGUGAACCUAAGAAUAUGCCCUGCAUUUCAUCUGCCCCUUCCAUUCUUGCCAGUAGGUCACUUGGCUCCAAAUCCACAGAUGUAUUUUUGUGCCCACCAACUAUCCUAGAAACAACCAGCAUUACAACCAGGCCAAACACAAAAUGCCAUCUUCAGAGGGUCAAACAGAAGGAGAAGAUGAAAGACAUGUGGAAAGGACCCAAUAAUAGAGAUAAUUUAGGUGCUCAGGAGUUGGCACAGAAGAGUAAUAUGCAUACAAUUGUUUGUACAUCACAUACUCCAGGAAAGAAAAUAUGCUUUACAACUAUGUACACAGGAGGUCUUUUCAUAUCUUCAGACAUUACUGGACAGAGUUCAGCCCUACAGUUUGUACACUCAGGGAACAGUUCUGUAAUAUCAGUUUCAUCAUUGGUUGAAAGGACUGUUUUCUGUGGAAAUACUGAUGAAAAGAUUGAGGAAUGGCAAUCAGAUAUUAACUCUUUUCCAGGAUUUCAGGAUCUGCCUACCUGCUCCUCAGCUAUGCCCAGAUGCCUUUCCCAUUCUUCUAAUAUGCUUUAUUGCCACAUGCUCCAUGCCCAACAAAAAGAAGUCCAUACAUUACCUCAGUUAAGUUCUCACGCAAGAGACUCAAAAGGUCCAAUCAAGUAUGUAUCCUUCCCAAAUUUAAAUGCUGAACCGCAAUUGACUUGGUGUUGCUUAAGCAGGAACCUUCCUCUUCCUGUUGAACAGAAGGAGAAGAGAGAUUCUGCAUAUUCAUCCUUGCACACCUGUAUGAAUGAAAAGUUAAUUUCAAAGUGUAACCGCUUAUUUUACAAGAUGAAAAAUACCAGGAAGUCUCCUGCUGCAGGCUCAAUAACUGGAGUGCCCCAAACAGCAACCUCUUCUGUUUCUCCACAACAGCAGCAGUACUUUUCUACAACUGGAGUUGAUGGGUUCUUUAAAAACAUUCCAGAGCAAGAAAGGGCAAAAGACAAGCUCCAUAAAAUGAGAGAGCUCACAGCACAUAAAGCAAAGAAAAGCCAUAAACGGAGAAAGGUGAAGAUCGCCCCAAAAUGCUAUAGAGGGAGUUAUCGACAAAGACAUAUUCUGUUUAAAGCCAACAGGCCAAUCAAGCAACACUGGCCGACUACAAGGGUUCUGGAACCUCCUAAAAAACCUUCUUCUCCUCACAUACCUAACAGUCGUCAGCAUUGCAGAAGAUGCCUUUGCCUUUUAGCUGCCUCCCAAGAAGACGAAGAGGAAAAAAAAGAAAAAAAAACUCUCCCCGAUCUUCGCUGCUGUUUACUAUGUACCCCCGGAAUCUUAGACUGUCUCUAAACCCAGCUCUUCUUCUUCUCCUUCUUCUUCAACUUCUUCUUCAUCUACACCAUCUGCCCCUAUCGGGUGACUCUGUAUUUCCCCCUCAGCUUGUUGGCUCUGUAAUGCCGCCGUGGCCUCCUGAUCCUUUGGUGGCCUUCUUUUUUGCGGGCGCGCCUCCUCUUGGUCCAUGUCUUCCUCGAAGUCCCUGUUAUAUUUACGUAGAAAUUGUUCUGCCUUCGGUACGUCCAGAAUAAUAUGUCUUUUAGAUUUAUAAUGGAACGAUAAACCUUGGGGAAACUGCCAUCUAAAGACCACCCCUUUUUUCUUCAGUUUUGUCGUUAAAAAAGUAAAUUCUUUUCUUUUCCUUAAUAACCUCGUUGGGAUCUCCUUGAGAAACAGGAUUUUGCGGCCCUCCACCAUAACUGGAGCUUCAUAUUGCUGGUUUAUAAUAAGUUCUUUGAAAGAUUUGGAGAUGAGCUGGAGGAUGCAGUCUCUAGGCACUUUUUUAAUUCUUGCAUACGCCGCAUUGACUCUGUAUGCUGCUGACACCAUCGCAUGCACCAUAUCUGUAUUCUUUUCCCCCAGAAGUGUUGUAAUGGUUCGAAUCAGAUAUUUUCUCAGAUCGCCUUUCUCAACUCCCUCUGGCAGGCCUCUGAUUCUGAUUGAGCAGUCAUUAAGUUUCAGCUCCAGUAAGUCCAUUUGAUCUUGCAGUGCCAUUUGUUUCAUCUCAGCCCCUCUGAUCGAGUCAGUGUUUGACUCCACCUUUUUUUUCAGGGAUUUGCCCUCUGUCUCUAAUUUAGAGACUUUAUUUUCCAGAACAAAUUGUCUUUCUGCAAUUUUUUUGACAUCGUCUCUCAGUAGGUCCAUACUCCCUUUUAGGUCCUGGAUCAUAGAUCUAAUUUCCAGAAGAACUUGUUCCGAGACUGAGCCGGUGGAAGUGCUAAUGGAGGUGUUACCGCCAGACUGCUUUUUUUGUUUGUCAGCAGCACCACCGGCCACAGUGGCGUAGGAUGUCAUCAGUCCUUUGACGCUCAUCCCAGUCAGUCGGGGUGAUUGACCUUUCCUUUCCAUUUCUGUUUUCCUUUGGAGUGCUUACUUUAAUUUUUGCCUUGAGAGGCUACCAUAAAUUUUCGAGGAGAGACUUAAUUGCAGCAGCUGCGCCAAGAUUGGGGGGAGAGGAGGGAUGUAGGCUUUAAUUCUUAAACAUGUAGAGUUCUUUUACUCCGUUAUAAAUUCUUUUAGCAAGACAAAAUAGCCAUAUCUUGUGAGGCCUUAUUUAGCAGGGGUUUUUUUAACUUGAAAAUUUUCAGGGGGGGGGUUGAAGCCCUAACCUCCCCCCCCCCCCAGCUACAGGCCUGCUGCUAAGGCUUCCCGCCAAAUGGAACUGUAGAGGAGAGUCUACUGAGCAAGCCAGUACCUGCCGCAUACCAGUACUGCCAUCUGUUGAGGAGUUACGAAGGUGGAGGCAUUACUUUCCAUUCAACCCUCGAAUUGACGAAAAUCCACAGGAGAUUUCUGAAAAAGCAGGUUCUUCUGUAGAAAAAAAUAUUAUGAAAAAAGAUAUCCCUGGAACUACAACAGAACACUCAAGUGGCAGCUUUUCUCCUCAG